rnacentral:rRNA from 1 species
UACGUAGGGUGCGAGCGUUAAUCGGAAUUACUGGGCGUAAAGCGUGCGCAGGCGGUUUUGUAAGUCUGACGUGAAAUCCCCGGGCUCAACCUGGGAACUGCAUUUGUGACUGCAUCGCUGGAGUGCGGCAGAGGGGGAUGGAAUUCCACGUGUAGCAGUGAAAUGCGUAGAGAUGUGGAGGAACACCGAUGGCGAAGGCAGCCCCCUGGGUCAAGAUUGACGCUCAUGCACGAAAGCGUGGGGAGCAAACAGG